rnacentral:rRNA from 1 species
CCUACGGGUGGCAGCAGUGGGGAAUAUUGGGCAAUGGAGGCAACUCUGACGCAGCAACGCCGCGUGAAUGAUGAAGGUCUUCGGAUUGUAAAGUACUGUGAGGGGGGAUGAAGACAAUGACGGUAACCAAAUAGCAAGCCACGGCUAACUACGUGCCAGCAGCCGGGGUAAUACGUAGGUGGCAAGCGUGAUCCGGAGGGACUGGGCGUAAAGCGUGCGUAGGGGGUUUAGUAAGUUGGCGGUGUAAUUCCGGGGCUCAACCUCGGCGCUACCGCCAAAACUAGUAGACUAGAGUGCUGGAGGGGUGAGUGGAAUUCCAGGUGUAGCGGUGGAAUGCGUAGAUAUUAGGAGGAACACCAGGGGCGAAGGCGACUUCCUGGACUGUAACUGACACUGAGGCGCGAAAGCGUGGGGAGCAAACAGGAUUAGAUACCCUAGUAGUC